GACGAACGCUGGCGGCGUGCUUAACACAUGCAAGUCGAACGGAAAGGCCAUGCGUUUGUGCGGUGCUCGAGUGGGGAACAGGUGAGUAAAACGUGAGUAACCUGCCCUUAACUUUGGGGGAACAUCAGGGGACUGGGGCGAAAAUCGGAUAGGAGCUCCUGAUGCAUAGGGGGGGAUGGAAAGUGUCGGCGGUUGGGGAUGGACUGGAGGGUUAUCAGCUUGUUGGUGGGGUAGUGGCGUACAAGGGCUUUGACGGGUAGCCGGCCUGGGAGGGUGACCGGCGACAUUGGGCCUGAGAUACGGACCAGACGGCUACGGGCGGCAGUAGGCGGGAAUAUUGCACAAUGGGCCGAAGCCUGAUGCAGAGACGCCGCGUGCGGGAUGCCGGCCUUCGGGUUGUAAACAGCUUUCGCCUGUGCCGAAGCGUGAGUGACGGUAAUGGGUAAAGAAGCACCGGCUAACUACGUG
rnacentral:rRNA from 1 species